UGGGGAAUUUUGGACAAUGGGCGAAAGCCUGAUCCAGCAAUGCCGCGUGUGUGAAGAAGGCCUUCGGGUUGUAAAGCACUUUUGUCCGGAAAGAAAUCCUUGGCUCUAAUACAGUCGGGGGAUGACGGUACCGGAAGAAUAAGCACCGGCUAACUACGUGCCAGCAGCCGCGGUAAUACGUAGGGUGCAAGCGUUAAUCGGAAUUACUGGGCGUAAAGCGUGCGCAGGCGGUUUGCUAAGACCGAUGUGAAAUCCCCGGGCUCAACCUGGGAACUGCAUUGGUGACUGGCAGGCUAGAGUAUGGCAGAGGGGGGUAGAAUUCCACGUGUAGCAGUGAAAUGCGUAGAGAUGUGGAGGAAUACCGAUGGCGAAGGCAGCCCCCUGGGCCAAUACUGACGCUCAUGCACGAAAGCGUGGGGAGCAAACAGGAUUAGAUACCCUGGUAGUCCACGCCCUAAACGAUGUCAACUAGUUGUUGGGGGACUUCAUUUUCCUUAGUAACGUAGCUAACGCGUGAAGUUGACCGCCUGGGGAGUACGGUCGCAAGAUUAAAACUCAAGGAAUUGAC
rnacentral:rRNA from 1 species